AAAUAUGUAUUUAUUAUAUCAACUUACAAUAGAAAGUAUAUGUUCUAUUAAUUUGUUUCCGUUUCACAGUGACACGGUUAACACAGUUGGUGCGGACAAUUCGAGCAAACGUAACGUUGGUAAGAGAAAAGAUGGAAAGUCAGAAAAUGGUAAGGCAGAAAAUGAUAAGGCAGAAAAUGGCAAAUCAGAAAAUGGCAAGUCACAAAAUGGCAAGUCACAAAAUGGUAAGGCAGAAAAUGAUAAGGCAGAAAAUGAUAAGGCAGAAAAUGGCAAGUCACAAAACGAUAACAUGGUCGAUGUUUCAAAUAAUAAACAAAAUAUGGACAAGAUUGCAUCUGUGACUGCAUCAACUUUUUUCACCAAUAAUAGUAAUAGCAACACCAGUAGUAAUAUAAAUAUCGGAUUAUUCGGUGCACCCGCAACUACAACUAUAAAACAAAAAAAAACAAAUCGACCAAAUAGGAAAAAACCAACAAAACACUUGCGUUCAUUUCACUCACCGCUAGUACGUUUUUUCAUCAUGAUUUUAAAUUUUGAUGUUAUAAAAAAAUGCAUAGACGAUUUAUAUUGGUAUAAAUAUAUAUAUAAAAAGAAAAAACGACAAAAUUUGGAUAGCCAUGGUGUGGGGGAAAAUGCCAGUGGUGGUGUAGACUACAAGUUGGAUAGAGAAACUUUCACAAAUGCAAGUUCCAAUGACAUAAGCAAUACGGAAGGUGUGGAAAAAAAUUAUUUCAAUUAUAAUAAUGGUAGUAAAUACAAAUGUACAUUAAAUGAAAAACAUUUCAUCAUAACCGAAUUUAUAAAAGAUUUUUAUUCAUUGGAACAUAUUUCAAAAGAUGUGUUGAACAAGCGUAAAAAAUUACAAGAUCUGUAUGAAGCAGGUGGUAAUAAUAUACGGAUGAAAUUGUUUUAUUAUAAACCAUUUUUAAAAAAUUAUGACAAUAAUAAGUAUAGUCAUAUUAAUGAAUAUCUAACAGAAAUAAAAUACUUGGAAAGUAAAUAUUUGUGUCAUAUUAACAAACCCGAUAGUUUUGUAAUGCGAUUUAAAAGAGCUCCACGUGACCAUGAAACGAAUAAUGAUGUUUCUGUUAAAAUGGAUGUGAAUGGUAGUGAAACGGUUGGUACACAUUAUAAUAAUGGUGUAUAUCAAGAUAGUGGUACAAAUAAUGUAACUAAUACAGUACAAAGUGAUGCUAAUAAUAGUAGUAAUGACCCUAAUUCAAUAAAAUUCCGAAGUACUAUACAGGAUAAAAAAAUAAAAACAAAAUGUAAAAAUGCGCUUAUCGAAACUAAGAUAAAUAACAAAACACUUGAGUUUAAUGAGUUUUUAGAUAUAAAUUAUAAAAAAGAAAAAAAAAAUAUUUAUUUACAUCCUUUAUAUGUUGAUUUAUAUAUAAAAGAUGUAUUAAAUUUUUUAAAUUUGUUUAAUCUAAAAUUAUUGAAAUAUAUAUUUUUUAUAAACAUGGAUGUAUUGACAUUUGUUUACGAAAUAAAGUAUGGAUAUUGGGUAAGAAACGGAACACGUAUGCUAACACAAGUAAAUAAUUAUGAAAUAACACAAUCAUUUUCUAACGAUUUGAUGGGCAUUCAAUUUGCUAUGAUCAUGAUGAAUGUGUUACCUCUCUAUGAAAAUCAAAAGAUUAAAUUGGAUUUGGAAACAAAAAAACUUGUAAAAACUUUGUAUACAAAGUAUAUACUUAUGAUGACCAAUGAACAGGUAAAUGAUGUUAGCCAUUAUAGUAAUGUGAACAAUUUUAAUAAUUAUGACAACACCAAUAAUGGUGAUAUUAUUAUUAACAAAGACACUAGUAAUGAUAACCAACUUGAACAAACAAACAAUAAUACACAUACAAUAUAUACAGGAGAUUUACUAUAUGUUACAACAUGCGACAAGCAAACUGUAGAGAAUAUAAAACUAUAUGAGGAUAUGAUUAUAUAUAGCAAAAGUAAGGAAAAAAAAAAAAAAAAAAGAAGAAGAAGAAGAAGAACAACAACAACAACAACAACAACAACAACAACAACAAGAACAACAACAACAACAACAAAGUAAUGGACAAACCGACGGUUUAAAUGAUGUAGAUGGUAUUUUAAACAUUUUUUAUAAAAGUAAUAAAGAUGAAACGUUUGAUAUUCUAAAAAAUAUU
ensembl:lncRNA